GCUUACGGCCAUACCACCCUGAGCACGCCCGAUCUCGUCUGAUCUUGGAAGCUAAGCAGGGUCGGGCCUGGUUAGUACUUGGAUGGGAGACCGCCUGGGAAUACCAGGUGCUUUAAGCU
rnacentral:rRNA from 1 species